ACUGUGUUGACGGUGAUUGGGUACAAGAACCAGACUGAUCCCUACCAUCACGGAAAUGAAUGCAACGGGGUUGGUAUUCUUGGCAUUGCUUGGGCCUUUGGUGGCAUGAUCUUCAUCCUUGUUUACUGCACCGCCGGCAUCUCUGGUGAGCUCUCUCUUUCUCUCUCUGUUUGGUUAACAGGAAAGCAAAGAAAAAUAUGAAAUUCAAGUAGCAUUUUUUCAACCACAAUGAUCAUCAUUCUUUUAACAUAUUGCGGAUGUUCACGCUACAACGCGCAGGAGGGCAUAUUAAUCCUGCAGUGACGUUCGGGCUAUUCCUGGCUAGAAAGGUGUCGCUGGUCCGAGCCGUGAUGUACAUGGUGGCCCAGUGCGGGGGAGCCAUCUGCGGCUGUGGCCUGGUCAAGCUAUUCCAGGAUAUUUACUACAUCAGAUACGGUGGUGGCGCCAAUGAG
rnacentral:lncRNA from 1 species